UUAUCCGGAUUGAUUGGGUUUAAAGGGAGCGUAGGUGGACAGUUAAGUCUGAUGUGAAAGUUUGCGGCUCAACCGUAAAAUUGCAGUUGAUACUGGCAUCCUUGAGUACAGUAGAGGUAGGCGGAAUUCGUGGUGUAGCGGUGAAAUGCUUAGAUAUCACGAAGAACUCCGAUUGCGAAGGCAGCUCACUAGACUGCAACUGACACUGAUGCUCGAAAGUGUGGGUAUCAAACAG
rnacentral:rRNA from 1 species